rnacentral:rRNA from 1 species
AGUGAACGCUGGCGGUAGGCCUAACACAUGCAAGUCGAACGGCAGCACAGUAAGAGCUUGCUCUUACGGGUGGCGAGUGGCGGACGGGUGAGGAAUACAUCGGAAUCUACUUUUUCGUGGGGGAUAACGUAGGGAAACUUACGCUAAUACCGCAUACGACCUACGGGUGAAAGCAGAGGAUCUUCGGACCUUGCGCGAUUGUGUGAGCCGGUGUCGGAUUAGCUAGUUGGCGGGGUAAAGGCCCACCAAGGCGACGAAGCGUAGCUGGUCUGAGAGGAUGGCCAGCAACACGGGACCUGAGACACGGCCCUGAGUACUACGGGAGGCAGCGGUACGCAAUAGUAGACAAUGGGCGCAAGCCUGUAACAGCCAUACCGCGUGGGUGAAGAAGGGCUUCGUGUUGGACAGCGCUGUUGUUGGGAAAGAAAAGCAGCAGGUUAAUACACCGCUGUUCUGACGGUACCCAAAGAGUAAGCACCGGCUAACUUCGUG